GACGAACGCUGGCGGCGUGCCUAAUACAUGCAAGUUGAGCGAUGAAGAUUGGUGCUUGCACCAAUUUGAAGAGCAGCGAACGGGUGAGUAACGCGUGGGGAAUCUGCCUUUGAGCGGGGGACAACAUUUGGAAACGAAUGCUAAUACCGCAUAACAACUUUAAACAUAAGUUUUAAGUUUGAAAGAUGCAAUUGCAUCACUCAAAGAUGAUCCCGCGUUGUAUUAGCUAGUUGGUGAGGUAAAGGCUCACCAGGGCAAUGAUACAUAGCCGACCUGAGAGGGUGAUCGGCCACAUUGGGACUGAGACACGGCCCAAACUCCUACGGGAGGCAGCAGUAGGGAAUCUUCGGCAAUGGACGAAAGUCUGACCGAGCAACGCCGCGUGAGUGAAGAAGGUUUUCGGAUCGUAAAACUCUGUUGGUAGAGAAGAACGUUGGUGAGAGUGGAAAGCUCAUCAAGUGACGGUAACUACCCAGAAAGGGACGGCUAACUACGUG
rnacentral:rRNA from 1 species